CCUACGGGUGGCAGCAGUGAGGAAUAUUGGUCAAUGGACGAGAGCCUGAACCAGCCAAGUAGCGUGAAGGAUGACUGCCCUAUGGGUUGUAAACUCCUUUUAUAUGGGAAUAAAAUGUGCCACGUGUGGGAUUUUGUAUGUACCAUAUGAAUAAGGAUCGGCUAACUCCGUGCCAGCAGCCGCGGUAAUACGGAGGAUCCGAGCGUUAUCCGGAUUUAUUGGGUUUAAAGGGAGCGUAGGUGGAUUGGUAAGUCAGUUGUGAAAGUUUGCGGCUCAACCGUAAAAUUGCAGUUGAAACUGGCAGUCUUGAGUGCGGUAGAGGUAGGCGGAAUUCGGGGUGUAGCGGUGACAUGCUUAGAUAUCACGAAGAACUCCGGUUGCGAAGGCAGUUCACUGGACUGCAACUGACACUGAGGCGCGAAAGUGUGGGUAUCAAACAGGAUUAGAUACCCGGGUAGUC
rnacentral:rRNA from 1 species